AGAGUUUGAUCAUGGCUCAGAUUGAACGCUGGCGGCAGGCCUAACACAUGCAAGUCGAGCGGAUGACGGGAGCUUGCUCCUUGAUUCAGCGGCGGACGGGUGAGUAAUGCCUAGGAAUCUGCCUGGUAGUGGGGGACAACGUUUCGAAAGGAACGCUAAUACCGCAUACGUCCUACGGGAGAAAGCAGGGGACCUUCGGGCCUCGCGCUAUCAGAUGAGCCUAGGUCGGAUUAGCUUGUUGGUGAGGUAAUGGCUCUCCAAGGCGACGCUCCGUAACUGGUCUGAGAGGAUGAUCAGUCCCUCUGGUUCCGAGACACGGUCCAGACUCUUACGGCAGACUUC
rnacentral:rRNA from 1 species